rnacentral:rRNA from 1 species
CCUACGGGAGGCAGCAGUGAGGAAUAUUGGUCAAUGGACGAGAGUCUGAACCAGCCAAGUAGCGUGAAGGAUGACUGCCCUAUGGUUGUAAACUUCUUUUAUAAAGGAAUAAAACGAGGCACGUGUGCCUUUUUGCAUGUACUUUAUGAAUAAGGAUCGGCUAACUCCGUGCCAGCAGCCGCGGUAAUACGGAGGAUCCGAGCGUUAUCCGGAUUUAUUGGGUUUAAAGGGAGCGUAGAUGGGUUGUUAAGUCAGUUGUGAAAGUUUGCGGCUCAACCGUAAAAUUGCAAUUGAUACUGGCAGUCGUGAGUACAGUUGAGGUAGGCGGAAUUCGUGGUGUAGCGGUGAAAUGCUUAGAUAUCACGAAGAACCCCGAUUGCGAAGGCAGCUUACUAAACUGUGACUGACAUUGAUGCUCGAAAGUGUGGGUAUCAAACAGGAUUAGAUACCCUAGUAGUC